rnacentral:tRNA from 1 species
AAAGGGAGACCUAAUUCAGGUAAAAGACAAAAAAAAGUAGUCGCUACCAAGAAUCAAUCCCAAAAGGUCGGAGCGAGGCGAAAUUGGCUUUCAAACUAGGUUCUGGGUUCAAACAAGACCUGAAUCAGGAACAAGGGCUAUUAGCUCAGGUGGUUAGAGCGCACCCCUGAUAAGGGUGAGGUCCCUGGUUCGAGUCCAGGAUGGCCCACCUGCACAGGUGGCAAAAACAAGAGAAGCGAGGAAUCAGCACCUUAUCUUACUUAUAUAGUAAGAGAGAAUGCUGGCUCUGAGUAAAGAGUCCAGAGGAACCUUGAAAACUGCAUAGAGCUAGGUGAAAAAGCCAAAAAAGAAGACCGCAAG